UGUGGGCACGUUCAGAGGAGCCACCUGCAUGUCUGUGAGGGCGUGAAUGUUGCUGCUUUCAGUGGUUUGGGCAUCGCGGUGACGCUGGGGCCUAUUGAGAAUCAAUAAAUCGGCUAUCGGUUCAACUUUAGAGACACAAGAGAGAGAUGCAUAUGGAAAAAUACAAAAAAAACACAAACUGCAUGCUGUUGUGUAGUUGUCAUAACUGUGUGGGUGUUAUAACAGUAAUAUCUUGAGGGGGGAGACAGAAAUAGUUAAAGGUCUCAUUUGAUUGGUCAAUCCGCGACUCACGUGACGUGUGUUGGCAGCAUCAGGAGCAGCAUCAGCUCGCAAAGAUCUCACAUGCUGGUUAUGGCGUUUAUUGUAGGCCUAGAAGUUGGUGGAGCCUUCAUCAUAGCCAAUAAUUACACUGCAUGAAUUUCUCCUGCAGAGCCGCAUCCAGUGGAGGUGCAGACUCCCCGACUCCUCUGAUACUCUUGAGUUGUAUUUCCUUUAUAUGAGUGUUGUAGGAUAAGUGAAGUCCCCUGGCUGUAAUUAACUUGACAUUAGGAGUUUUGUGUAUAAUUGGAUACACAUGAACAUCACUCGGUGCAAGAUGAAGCCUCAGAAGAACACAGUCAGAGAGUGUAAAGACUGGACCGACUGCCUUGUAACAACACAGAAAGAGUGCUGAGUAUCACACAUUGAGAAUGCCGGCAACAUCAGCCCUAAAGUUUGCAUCAACUUACAACGAAGCCAAACGGCCACCAGACAGAAUGAGGAGCCUGCAGAUGGAAACAAGGGUGGGUGGUUGGAAGGCUGGAUAAAGGCUGCUAGAUGACUGAACUCAGAGACACGGUGCAGCUCAUCAUCAUUGCCAUGGGCUCUCGUCUUCCUCCUCUCCUCCUGUGGCCCGUACCUCCAUCCAGGGGUCCAGCACAGCCAGUAAAGCCCAAGCGGAGUGCUAGUGAGUGGGCCGGGAAGGAUGGAGAAGGUCCCUGAAGGCUAGAAGCACCUCUGGAGCUACCAGCAUGCAGGAGAAAUCAAUAUGAAACACAGAGCCUGCACAGCUCUGAGUGGGGUUUCCUGUGUUAUUCUGUGGCCUAAGGGCCCGCAGACCUCCAAAGGACAGGCCCUGCGUGGCCCUCUCAGCUGCAGCUCCAGCUCCUCAGACUGGACCUCAGUCCAGCUCUCCACUGGCUGUGUGUGGUUCUGCUGAAGGGGAUCUCUCCCCAAAUAAUACCCAAUACCCUGAAUGUUGAAACACCGCCGAGAGGGAUUUUUUUUUUCUUUCAUAAGAUUGACAUAUUCCCCACCUUCUGCUUCUGGCUGUUUAAAAACCAGUUUGGGAGUUCAGCUUUUGACUCACUCUCCAUCCUCGACUCGCCUGUUGUUUAUUCCCCAACCAGUUUUUACAUUUGACAAAGAGACAGUGCGAUCUUUAUUUUCUCCUCCACUCUCGGUUUGCCGUUACUAUGGUGAGCCGUAGACAUGUGUCUUUUCAAACCAGAAACACCGGCACAUGCUGUAUGAACAUCUCUUUUUUUUUUCCAUGACGUCUAUUAUUCAAUCCCAGACUGUUAAAAAAAACUGACUGAACAGCAAAGAGGGCAGAGAUUCUAGUGGAGAUGGUAACAUGAUUGACGGUGUGCUGGAAAACCACUGAUUGGCUGAACAACUUCGGACGCAAAGAGAAAAGGAUUUCUGGUCCAACUGGACUCAUUUCAGCGUUAUUGUGGAUUUUUCUACUGUGCAAUUAAAGCCUCGACAUUUUGUGAUAAACAGUGAUAAAUGUGAUAAACACAAGAUAAGUGUUUUUCAACCAGCUGUGCCUUAAGAUGUGUUUUUACUGUUAAUAAUGUAUUUGGGUUAAAAAUUAAUCUAUUAAAAUAUAUAGAGAUUAAAGUGAAUGUUCUUUCUAAAUGUAUUAAUGAGGGUGUUAAGAGAUGUAAAGCUACAUGUGAUACUGAUUUCUGAAUGCAGCCAUCCAGGCUUCACUGCUGUAUUUAAUACUGUUACUGAUACUGAAAUUUUCUUCAAAAAUCACUGGAAGAGUUUUUUUUUUUUUUACUAAAAAAGUCAGAGCCAUCAUUACUAGAUCUCAAGUUUGACUCUGCUGAAAAUGCACCAAUAUUUGAAUGAUUUGAGUUUGAAGUAAAACAGAAGUAAUGUACAGUAUGUUUGUCCUACCUGGGAUUCUGUGUGUGUGAAUACUGUAUAAAUA